CAAUAGCGUAUAUUAAAGUUGUUGCAGUUAAAAAGCUCGUAGUUGGAUUUCUGGAUGGAGCGACCGGUCGGGCAUUAAUUUGUCUGCACUGGAGUCGGUUCCGUCCAUCCUCUUGGAAAGUGCGUCGGGCAUUAAGUUGUUCGGCGUAUGAUCCAAGUCGUUUACUGUGAAAAAAUUAGAGUGUUUAAAGCAGGCCUUCGCCUUGAAUACAUUAGCAUGGAAUAAUAAGAUAGGACUUUGGUCUAUUUUGUUGGUUUGCAGACCGAAGUAAUGAUUAAUAGGGAUAGUUGGGGGUAUUUAUAUUCCGAUGUCAGAGGUGAAAUUCUUAGAUUUUCGGAAGAUAAACUUAUGCGAAAGCAUUUACCAAGGAUGUUUUCAUUAA
rnacentral:rRNA from 1 species